rnacentral:rRNA from 1 species
AUUGAACGCUGGCGGCAUGCCUUACACAUGCAAGUCGAACGGCAGCACGGGUGCUUGCACCUGGUGGCGAGUGGCGAACGGGUGAGUAAUACAUCGGAACAUGUCCUGUAGCGGGGGAUAGCCCGGCGAAAGCCGGAUUAAUACCGCAUACGAUCUACGGAUGAAAGCGGGGGACCUUCGGGCCUCGCGCUAUGGGGUUGGCCGAUGGCGGAUUAGCUAGUUGGUGGGGUAAAGGCCUACCAAGGCGACGACCAGUAGCUGGUCUGAGAGGACGACCAGCCACACUGGGACUGAGACACGGCCCAGACUCCUACGGGAGGCAGCAGUGGGGAAGGUUGGACAAUGGGCGAAAGCCUGAUCCAGCAAUGCCGCGUGUGUGAGGAAGGCCUUCGGGUUGUAAAGCACUUUUGUCCGGAAAGAAAUCCUUGGCCCUAAUACGGUCGGGGGAUGACGGUACCGGAAGAAUAAGCACCGGCUAACUACGUG